GAGCAUUUGCUCUUUUAGUAUUUGUCCAGUAGGUUUCCUGAUGAAGAAAGCCUCC
ensembl:snRNA U7 U7 small nuclear RNA